AUACAUCUAGUCAAAGCAAUCGCAUAGGAAGAAAUUGAUUUCAAACUAUGUUAACUGUGCAGGAUAUACGAAUCUAGACACCACUGUGCUCCUUGAUCCAAUCCCGUGCGAAACUUACUCUUGAGUAGACACCCGGAUAGUCGGGCUUAGCGCAACCGUAGCCCCAGCUAACCACGCCCACCAGCUCGCCCGAUUCACUGACCAUCGGACCGCCGGAAUCGCCUUGGCACGCAUCCUUUCCGCCUUCCAGAAAUCCAGCACAGAUCAUUCGCUCGGUGACGCCGCCGUACUGUUUGUACUUCUCGCUGCAAAGCUCCUGAUUGACCAGAGGCACCUCCACCU
ensembl:ncRNA asRNA:CR45300 antisense RNA:CR45300